rnacentral:rRNA from 1 species
AGAGUUUGAUCCUGGCUCAGAUUGAACGCUGGCGGCAGGCCUAACACAUGCAAGUCGAGCGGUAGAGAGAAGCUUGCUUCUCUUGAGAGCGGCGGACGGGUGAGUAAUGCCUAGGAAUCUGCCUGGUAGUGGGGGAUAACGUUCGGAAACGGACGCUAAUACCGCAUACGUCCUACGGGAGAAAGCAGGGGACCUUCGGGCCUUGCGCUAUCAGAUGAGCCUAGGUCGGAUUAGCUAGUUGGUGAGGUAAUGGCUCACCAAGGCGACGAUCCGUAACUGGUCUGAGAGGAUGAUCAGUCACACUGGAACUGAGACACGGUCCAGACUCCUACGGGAGGCAGCAGUGGGGAAUAUUGGACAAUGGGCGAAAGCCUGAUCCAGCCAUGCCGCGUGUGUGAAGAAGGUCUUCGGAUUGUAAAGCACUUUAAGUUGGGAGGAAGGGUUGUAACCUAAUACGUUGCAAUUUUGACGUUACCGACAGAAUAAGCACCGGCUAACUCUGUGCCAGCAGCCGCGGUA